ensembl:lncRNA
GGGAAGUCCUGGGUGGGGAGGGGCUCACUCCUGUUCCUCGCCAGCAAAUCUGGGGACGUCGGAAGGGACAGAUGAUGUGAAGGUGGGCCACAGUUUGACGGUUUCAUUUCCGGUCGAACUCUUCUCCCCUCCCUCCUCGUUCCCACUCCCACCACCUUAAUCCAUCUCAAGGCUGAAGAACAGAUCUCGGCUCAGUAACACACAGGUUACAAGCUUGAGCACCUGCCUUAAGCCUCACAGCACACAACACCUGUUGUCUGUUAUUAUCUGUGAGCAGGAUCCUUACUCAGCGACACCUGGUUAUACCCACCCUGCAGCUGAGGACACAGAGGCCCAAGGACCGGAGCUAGCUUGUCAGGAUGGCAGAGUCAAGAAGUCAGGGCGCUGGGGUCAGAGCCCCUUGUCCGUGUAACCAUCCACACUGGGGGGUCUCUCAGGGCUCCGGCCCCCUCUGCUCCUCCCCACUCCAUCUUUCCCCGACUCGUGCUGCCAUCCCCCACCAGAGGCGAAUGGCAUCAACUCCCAGGCCACCAGGAUCUCAGCCAGAGCCCUAUGGACCGGACCGCCACCUGGGAGGCUAGGGUGGAGCACAGGGAGGCAGCAGCUACUGGGUCUAGUGAUGGAGGCAAGCGGUGCUGCCCAAGCCCACGGGAUGCCUAGGACGGCCCCCCAGACGGUGUCGGGCCACAUGAUAGUGGGGAGGGGCGCACAGUAGCCCCGCCCCAGAUGCGCAGGCUUGCCCUUCCACGUCUGUGCUGGAGGCUUCCUGUCGUCUGCCUACACCUGUGGCCCCCUCCAGUCUCAGCCAGAGGUGGGCACCCACAGCUUGCAGAUGUAGGUGGAGAGUUCUCUGCAGAUUCUAGACUAAAGCGCAUCCAGAUGUGAAGGGAUGCCCUGUAGGCCCACGCGUAUCCACAUGGAGGGCCUCCCUGACAGAGCUGCUCCUUGACCCAACCCUGCUCUGGCUCCUUGAACUCUUUUUCUUCUCUUGGGCCUCAACUUCUGGGCUUCCGUAUUCAUUUCGGCAUUGCUCAGUCAGGAAAGCCCAGGCGGCUCUAGUGGUCAAGAAUCGGCCUGCCAGUGCAGGAGUCGCAAGAGACGCAGGUUCGAUCCCUGGGUUGGGAAGAUGCCCUGGAGGGCAUGGCAACCCACUGCAGUAUUCUUGUCUGGAGAAUCCCAUGGACAGCGGAGCCUGGCGGUCUGCAGUCCAUGGGGUCACAGAGUCGGACACAACUGAAGAGACUGAGGACGCAUGCACUGCUGAGUCAGUUUGGCCAGGAUUCAUCUUGAUGUCUGAUGGGGCUCCUCACUCCUGUUGCUAGGUGACGCCACCAUGCCUGCCUUCAGCCAGAUCCUUCUGGUGGUGGGUUAAGCUAGAAUCUCUGCUACUCCAGAUGUUUCUUCUUAGUAAUUUCCCAUCCACUGACCUCCACCUUGCACCUUGGCUACAAAUUCC